AUUCCAUGGUGAGGACAUUGCCUUUGAAGGCGUUUGAAUCUUUUCCAAGCAUCAUGUAGUGAUUCAUCGUCUUCUUGACGAAAAGUAGAUAUGUCAUUCCUUAGCUU
rnacentral:snoRNA from 1 species